GAGCAGAAAGGGUCUGCAAGGAGCAGAAAGGGAUCAGAAUGAGAAAGGAGCAGAAGGGCGCAAAAUAAGCAGAAAGUAGUAGAAAGGUAAAAGAGCAGAAGGGGCCAAGGAUAGAAAACAGUGUCAGAAGAAAACAAAAGACUGUCAAAUGAAGGAGAGGAAAAGGAGAUUGGAGCAGGAAGGACAAAUGAAGUGAACCCUCCACUUUAUUCUGGACACCACAUCAUAAGGCUUUGGUACCUGGGCCAGGCAGGGAAACGCUCGACCUUCUCAUCUCCAAAGGUAAAAAAUAUCAGUAUUAAUGUGUUCACUUUUAUUUACUGAGUGUCAGGAAGCACAGAGUGCCGUUGGGUAGGGGUGUUGCUGAUUGGCUAGAGCGGUCAGCUGGCACUC
rnacentral:lncRNA from 1 species